GAUCAUGGCUCAGGAUGAACGCUAGCGGCAGGCCUAACACAUGCAAGUCGAGGGGCAUCACGAGGUAGCAAUACUUUGGUGGCGACCGGCGCACGGGUGCGUAACGCGUAUGUAACCUACCUAUAACAGUGGCAUAACACUGAGAAAUUGGUACUAAUUCCCCAUAAUAUUCGGAGAGGCAUCUCUCCGGGUUGAAAACUCCGGUGGUUAUAGAUGGACAUGCGUUGUAUUAGCUAGG
rnacentral:rRNA from 1 species